rnacentral:lncRNA from 1 species
CUGAAAUCAUCAUAAAACUGGAGCAGCUAAAUGCUGCUUUGGAAAUUUUAUUUUCAAAGCACGCGGAGCUACAGUACUCAUUUAAUGAAACUUUCUAAAGUCCAAUAACACCCUCAAACCAGAAACGGUGCUCCUUUGCCGAUCUUCACAAAAUCUAGAAACCCACUAGAAACGGCUUUGCCAAUCUGCACAAGAAAUGGAAACACAGAAACUCACCAGACCACCACAGCCAAAACCAAAAACGGUUUUCCUUUGCCGAUCCACGUGCUAAACUAGCCUUAACUUUCUAAGACAUUGGAUACAAACAUCAAAACCCAAAAGCCAAAAAUUGAAUAAAUAUCAGCUUUAAGAUUUCACCACCAUCAAUUCUAUAAUUUGAUUAAACACAAUUCCAGAAAAAUAAACAAUUUGAGCCACUGAAAGUUUGAAACUUUAUCGAUUUUGGAAAAGUCGAAAAGAAAUCUUGGGCAAUUUGGGUUAAAAGUUAAAUACCUCUGGUUCUUUGAAGGUCCGGACUGAAACAAAGGCCACUGGCGCCGGUAGAGAGAGACGGAGAAAGGAAGGGACUACAGAGAGGAGUGUUUUCUGUUGUCGAGAGACUAUUGAUAAAUAAAAGACAUGGAUUAUUAAUAAAUGAAGAUGGACAAAAGAAAAAUAGGGUUGGUUUAUUAUUUUACAUUUAACAAUAUACUCAUUUUAUGUUAUUUUGAUCAUUUCACACAAUCACAACUGUUUUACAU